AAUUCUCAACCCCUCUCGAUUUGCUUCGAGUGGGGCUUGGAUAGUGGGGGCUGCCGGAGACCUGAAAUUCAUUUCGGGACUCGGGCUCCUCUGAAAUGCAUCGGCUUGCGGUCGACUUUCGACUUUGCGCGACAAAGCUUUCGGCGUGAUAAUGAUCGCCGUUCGCUGAAGCGCAUCAAUGAACCGUCCCGUGCCUCUAAUCAGUCGACGCCUUCCGGGCGUCUUCCUUAUAGACGUUUGACCUCAAAUCAGGUAGGACUACCCGCUGAACUUAAGCAUAUCAAUAAGCGGAGGAAAAGAAACUAACAAGGAUUCCCCUAGUAACUGCGAGUGAACCGGGAAAAGCUCAAAUUUUGAAUCUGGCGGUCUUUACGGUCGUCCGA
rnacentral:rRNA from 1 species